GGAUUAGAUACCCUGGUAGUCCACGCCCUAAACGAUGCUCACUCGAUGUAUGUACGCAAGUAUGUGCGUCCAAGGGAAACCGAUAAGUGAGCCACCUGGGGAGUACGUCGGCAACGAUGAAACUCAAAGGAAUUGACGGGGACCCGCACAAGCGGUGGAGCAUGUUGUUUAAUUCGAAGCAACGCGAAGAACCUUACCUACCCUUGACAUACUUGUCGUUAGGACCAGAGAUGGUCCUUUUCAGUUAGGCUGGACAAUGUACAGGUGCUGCAUGGCUGUCGUCAGCUCGUGUCG
rnacentral:rRNA from 1 species